GGGAUAUAUCGCAGCUUGCUUCUAUGCCUUAGGCAUCGAGCAACUCAGUUGAGUCUCGCUAGCUAUUUUCUCCUUAUCAGAUAAUCAUUAGAUCUACGGUCACUUCAAUCGAUUCCUCUUCUGAUCAAACAUGGCUCCGGACCCAAACAGUGCCAGUGGCAGCGGAACCUCCAAAGAGGAUACGUCGGUGAAGGUGCCGUCUAAGGACCCCAAAAAGAAGGACGAGAAGAAGGAUGAGGAUCU
rnacentral:misc_RNA from 1 species